GAUGAAGAACGCAGUGAAAUGCGAUAAUUAAUGUGAAUUGCAGAAUUCAGUGAAUCAUCGAGUCUUUGAACGCACAUUGCGCCCCCUGGUAUUCCGGGGGGCAUGCCUGUCCGAGCGUCAUUGCUGCCCUCAAGCACGGCUUGUGUGUUGGGCUUCCGUCCCUGGCAACGGGGACGGGCCCAAAAGGCAGUGGCGGCACCAUGUCUGGUCCUCGAGCGUAUGGGGCUUUGUCACCCGCUCCCGUAGGUCCAGCUGGCAGCUAGCCUCGCAACCAAUCUUUUUAACCAGGUUGACCUCGGAUCAGGCAGGGAUACCCGCUGAACUUAAGCAUAUCAAUAAGCGGAGGA
rnacentral:misc_RNA from 1 species